ACACACUACAUUGGCACACACGCCAAGUGCAAAACAAUCAAUUUCAGGCACUUUUUAACAGCAAUUAAAUCACUCGCUUGGCAAUAUUCCUUAAAUUUAUUAGUUUACGCGUCCGACUAUAGAUUCGAACUUUAUUUUUAGCCGUUUUCUGCUGUUUUUGCCGUUUCGUUUAGUUUUUUCCCUUCCACCGUUUUGGUCGUGAGUAGUUACUUUGCCGCCGUUUUGGCACUCACAGCAACAGCGAAAAUAGAGAAGAGGCGAACAGGCCGCAGAGCGCAACAAAAAAAAAAAGAGAGCAUGUAUGAGGCUCUCAUUUUCUAGUUCGAAAAUCGAGAGAGCGCACGGUUCACACACAUACACAUAUGCAUAGAGACUUAAGAAUAGAGCUGUCCUGCUUGCACUUGUGAAAAAGAAAAAACAGGCAAAUGGCGCACGACAAACGCUGGAAAAUAUAAUUAUAAAACUAAAAAAAAACUCUUUUAAUAAUCACAAUAAAGAUUUAUAAAUGCUAACUGAAAAACUAAAGAAUAACUGAAUCACAUACAAACUAAUCUGGGGACGGACACACGAAGAAUAUGGCGUGUUGUGUUUGCAUUCAGAGAAAUUCACCACGCCGCCUUUUUUUAAGUUGAAUUCUUGCCAUUCUACAUGAUUCAUUCGCUUUGUUUGUUGUUGUUGCUGCGCUAAUGCAAACGCCAUGCCAAAAAGGCAAUAAAAUGCACGUAAUUCCAACGUUUCUCACAUUUUAUUUAACACCCUCGACUAAGUGCGAUAAAAAGACUGAUGGGAAGGGAAAAGAGAGAGGGGUGUCAGCGAGGAAGAGGAAGAACACGCGCGCACACACACACAUUUGAAUAGUUUUCCUUUUGCCGAUAUUCCAAAUUGACAGUGGAACAACUGACAGUCAAGUUACAAAUAAAUAUUCAUUGUACAGACGGUUGAAAACUAUUGUUCUUAUAUUAUCUUACAUUUUUAAUUCACAUUAAUUUUAAUAUUUCAAUAUGUCAGACAAAAAAAUUUUGAUUUGCAUUUUUUUACCAAAUUGUUUAUUGACCAACUUUUUUUUUUGUUUUUGUUGAUGUUGCGAAUUUAUUUACACUCGCCCGCACACUUAUCCACUUGUGUGUGUGCCGCCGGCCGGCAAGCGAUUUUUGCUCUUCUCUUUCUUUUCUUUUCUUUUCUGAUCGCUUUCACUUCGAGCUUUACAGUUAUCAGCUGUAUUUUUGAACCUGCAUUUAAUUAUCCGUUUUGGCCCACUGUGUUUUUGUUAAUUUCCAAGUGUGCUUAUGCGAUUUGGUUAGUGUUCGUGAGUUUGUGACGUAAAAUUAAACGGAAGAAUAUAACGAAUACUAACGAAUGUUGACAGAAAGGCCAGCCAAUGAAUAUGACGUAUUUGGCCCAUUUUAAACUCGACUAGCCACAAAUAAAAUUGGAAUAUUAGGAAUAACACAUAUUAAAUACACAAUAGCGGGCGGCUCUCUAUCGCGCUCUCACAAUAAAACAAAACAUUACUGGCUCUCACACACACACAGAACAAAAGAGAGCAAGACUUGAGAGAGAGAGAGCGAGAGCGGGCGAACGUGCGGUUGUAAUUAUGUAGUACAGUAGACUUUGAGUUUUCAACAGAAAUUCACGUAGAACGAUACGAUGACGUACAGAAGAGGAAGAAGCAGAAGUAGCGGAUGAAGAAGAAGCAAGGACAGCAACGGCAUGCAUUGGAAAUGAACAUAAAAAUUGGAAAUGGAAAACCUGAGCAAAAACAAAAUGCACUUCCUCUUUAACAAAUAAACAAAGGUCAACAGUUUGUAGGAGAAAAGAUUGGAAAUAAAUAAUAGCCUAACUCGUUUAUUAAACCA